UCGAACGGCACGGACUUCGGUCUGGUGGCGAGUGGCGAACGGGUGAGUAAUGUAUCGGAACGUGCUGGUAGCAGAGGAUAACUACGCGAAAGCGUAGCUAAUACCGCAUACGCCCUUCGAAGGAAAGCGGGGGACGGGCCUCACUAUUAGAGCGGCCGAUAUCGGAUUAGCUAGUUGGUGGGGUAACGGCUCGCAAGGCUGACGAUCCGUAGCUGGUUUGAGAGAGGACGACCAGCCACACUGGGACUGAAGUGCGGCCCAGACUCCUACAGGAGGCAGCAGUGGGGAAUUUUGGGUUAAUGGGGAAACCUGAUCAGCCAUCCCGCGUGUGCGAUGAAGGCCUUCCGGGUUGUAAAAGCGCGGCGGGAAAGAAACGGCACGGGAUAACCCUGCCCCGUGCAACUGACGGACCUGCAGAAUAAGCACCGGCUAACUACGUGCCAGCAGCCUUGAUGGCCGUAGGUACAAGCGUUAAAUCGGAUUCACUGGAGCGUAAAGCGUGCGCAGGCGGUUCGGGAAAAGAAGAUGUGAAAUCCCAGAGCUUAACUUUGGAACUGCAUUUUUAACUACCGAGCUAGAGUGUCAGAGAGGGGUGGAAUUCCGCGUGUAGCAGUGAAAUGCGUAAUGAAUAUGCGGAGGAACACCGAUGGCGAAGGCAGCCUCCUGGGAUAACAUGACGCUCAUGCGAAAAGCGUGGGGAGCCGUGGAUUCAGAUACCUGGUGAUCCACGCCUGACGUCGUCAACUAGCUGUUGGGGCCUUCGGGCCUUGGUAGCGCAGCUAACGCGUGAAGUUGACCGCCUGGGGAAGCCACAGUCGCAAGAUUAAAACUCAAAGGAAUUGACGGGGACCCGCACAAGCGGUGGAUGAUGUGGAUUAAUUCGAUGCAACGCGAAAAACCUUACCUACCCAUGACAUGUCUGGAAUCCCGAAGAGAUUUGGGAGUGCUCGCAAAGGAACCGGAACACAGGUGCUACAUGGCUGUCGUCAGCUCGUGUCGUGAGAUGUUGGGUUAAGUCCCACCAACAGGCGCAACCCUUGUCAUUAGUUGCUACGAAAGGGCACUCUAAUGAGACUGCCGGUGACUCAGCCAGGAAGGUGGGAUGACGUCAAAGUCCUCCUUGGCCCUUAUGGGUGAGACACCGCACGUCAUACAAUGGUCGGGACAGAGGUCGCCAACCCGCGAGCCAAUCCCAGAAACCCGUCAUGGUCGGAUCGCAGUCUGCAACUCGACUGCGUGAAGUCGGAAUCGCUAGUAAUCGCGGAUCAGCAUGUCGCGGUGAAUACGUUCCCGGGUCUUGUACACACCGCCCGUCACCUUAGGGUGGGUUUUUCAAGUAGUUAGCCUAACCGUAAGGAGGCGAUUACCACAGUAGGAUUCAUGACUGGGGUGAAGUCGUAACAAGGUAA
rnacentral:rRNA from 1 species